GAGUUUGAUCGUGGCUCAGAGUGAACGCUGGCGGUAGGCCUAACACAUGCAAGUCGAACGGUAACAGGUCUUUCGGGAUGCUGACGAGUGGCGGACGGGUGAGGAAUACAUCGGAAUCUGCUCAGUCGUGGGGGAUAACGCAUGGAAACGUGCGCUAAUACCGCAUACGACCUUCGGGUGAAAGCAGGGGAAUCUCUCGGGAUCCUUGCGCGAUUGAAUGAGCCGAUGUCGGAUUAGCUAGUUGGUAGGGUAAAAGCCUACCAAGGCCACGAUCCGUAGCUGGUCUGAGAGGAUGAUCAGCCACACUGGGACUGAGACACGGCCCAGACUCCUGCGGGAGGCAGCAGUGGGGAAUAUUGGACAAUGGGGGCAACCCUGAUCCAGCCAUACCGCGUGGGUGAAGAAGGCCUUCUGGGUUGUAAAGCCCUUUUGUUGGGGAAGAAAAACAACGGGUUAAUACCCCGUUGGUAUGACGGUACCCAAAGAAUAAGCACCGGCUAACUUCGUGCCAGCAGCCGCGGUAAUACGAAGGGUGCAAGCGUUACUCGGAAUUACUGGGCGUAAAGGGUGCGUAGGUGGUUGCGCCAGUCUGUCGUGAAAGCCCUGGGCUUAACCUGGGAAUGGCGAUGGAAACUGUGCAACUAGAGUGUGACAGAGGGUGGUGGAAUUCCUGGUGUAGCAGUGAAAUGCGUAGAGAUCAGGAGGAACAUUCGUGGCGAAGGCGGCCACCUGGGUCAACACUGACACUGAGGCACGAAAGCGUGGGGAGCAAACAGGAUUAGAUACCCUGGUAGUCCACGCCCUAAACGAUGCGAACUGGAUGUUGGGUCCAACUUGGGAUUCAGUAUCGAAGCUAACGCGUUAAGUUCGCCGCCUGGGGAGUACGGUCGCAAGACUGAAACUCAAAGGAAUUGACGGGGGCCCGCACAAGCGGUGGAGUAUGUGGUUUAAUUCGAUGCAACGCGCAGAACUCUUACCUGGCCUUGACAUGCACGGAACCUUU
rnacentral:rRNA from 1 species